CCCUUAGAGUUUGAUCCUGGCUCAGGAUGAACGCUAGCUACAGGCUUAACACAUGCAAGUCGAGGGGAAACGACAUCGAAAGCUUGCUUUUGAUGGGCGUCGACCGGCGCACGGGUGAGUAACGCGUAUCCAACCUGCCCACCACUUGGGGAUAACCUUGCGAAAGUAAGACUAAUACCCAAUGAUAUCUCUAGAAGACAUCUGAAAGAGAUUAAAGAUUUAUCGGUGAUGGAUGGGGAUGCGUCUGAUUAGCUUGUUGGCGGGGUAACGGCCCACCAAGGCUACGAUCAGUAGGGGUUCUGAGAGGAAGGUCCCCCACAUUGGAACUGAGACACGGUCCAAACUCCUACGGGAGGCAGCAGUGAGGAAUAUUGGUCAAUGGACGAGAGUCUGAACCAGCCAAGUAGCGUGCAGGAUGACGGCCCUAUGGGUUGUAAACUGCUUUUAUAAGGGAAUAAAGUUAGUCUCGUGAGACUUUUUGCAUGUACCUUAUGAAUAAGGACCGGCUAAUUCCGUGCCAGCAGCCGCGGUAAUACGGAAGGUCCGGGCGUUAUCCGGAUUUAUUGGGUUUAAAGGGAGCGUAGGCCGGAGAUUAAGCGUGUUGUGAAAUGUAGAUGCUCAACAUCUGCACUGCAGCGCGAACUGGUUUCCUUGAGUACGCACAAAGUGGGCGGAAUUCGUGGUGUAGCGGUGAAAUGCUUAGAUAUCACGAAGAACUCCGAUUGCGAAGGCAGCUCACUGGAGCGCAACUGACGCUGAAGCUCGAAAGUGCGGGUAUCGAACAGGAUUAGAUACCCUGGUAGUCCGCACGGUAAACGAUGGAUGCCCGCUGUUGGUCUGAAUAGGUCAGCGGCCAAGCGAAAGCAUUAAGCAUCCCACCUGGGGAGUACGCCGGCAACGGUGAA
rnacentral:rRNA from 1 species